rnacentral:rRNA from 1 species
UACGUAGGGUGCAAGCGUUGUCCGGAAUUAUUGGGCGUAAAGAGCUCGUAGGCGGUUUGUCGCGUCUGCUGUGAAAACCCGAGGCUCAACCUCGGGCCUGCAGUGGGUACGGGCAGACUAGAGUGCGGUAGGGGAGAUUGGAAUUCCUGGUGUAGCGGUGGAAUGCGCAGAUAUCAGGAGGAACACCCAUGGCGAAGGCAGCAAACUGGUCAUCAACUGACGCUGAGGCGCGAAAGCGUGGGUAGCAAACAGG